rnacentral:lncRNA from 1 species
CUUGGAAUAGGGCUGAAUCUUCCACAGCUACCUGACAUUCGACAUCCACUUAAACAACUAAACAGAAAAUGGUACUCCACAGCUAUAAAAAAAAAAAAAAAAAAAAAAUUUUAUUGAAUCUUCACCUUAUUACAAAAUUUCACUUGCCAAACUCAGUGUUUUUAGUAAGAGGUAAUUAUUUGUGUAGGGGUUUAAACAAAUCCCAGUGGAAUUCAAAUAUUUUUAAAGACUAUCUUAGAUAAUAUAUUUUGUAUAGAAUCAAUGUUGAGUUAGCUAUACCAUAAAAAUAUGUGAAGCUAGGUUGAAAUGAGAGAAAAAUCACUAGUAGAGACCUAUACGUGGUACAUGGAAGCAUCGUCUUUCACUAUUUGAAUUGUGGUACUGAAAGUGACAUAACAUGAGUAUUUGGGGUGCUUUUUCCCUAGCUGUGGACACAAAUUAGUGCUCUAUUGUCUAAGACUUAAAAUAGACCAAGGAACUUUAAAAGCAACAUUUUAAAAAUGGGGAUCCGUCCAGCUGUGUUCUGAGCUUGGGCAGCACUGCCAUCUGUUCUGUAAAGCACCACGGGGUCUCCACUGCACUCAGUUAGAAGUCAGCCACCUCGGAAGCACAGGCACAGCGUCAGCCACCUUGGAAGCACAGGCACAAGGUAUCAGGGUGUUUUCUAGAAAGGACGUCAUCAACAUGGUUGACUAGAGGCACCCAGCACUCGCCUCUUCUAUAA